ACGUAGGUGGCGAGCGUUGUCCGGAAUUAUUGGGCGUAAAGAGCAUGUAGGCGGUCUUUUAAGUCUGGAGUGAAAAUGCGGGGCUCAACCCCGUAUGGCUCUGGAUACUGGAGGACUUGAGUGCAGGAGAGGAAAGGGGAAUUCCCAGUGUAGCGGUGAAAUGCGUAGAUAUUGGGAGGAACACCAGUGGCGAAGGCGCCUUUCUGGACUGUGUCUGACGCUGAGAUGCGAAAGCCAGGGUAGCGAACGG
rnacentral:rRNA from 1 species